rnacentral:rRNA from 1 species
GUCUAAGGCCAUACUACUCUGAACGUGCCCGAUAUUGUCAGAUCUCAGAAGCAAAGCAGGGUCAGGCCUGGUUGUUAGUACUUGGAUGGGAGACUGCCUGGGAAAACCGGGUGCCGUAGGCU